UUCUUUGGACCCAGGAUCACUCAACUGAGCCACGUCCCCAGCCCUUUUUAUCUUUUAUUUAGACACAGGGCCUCGCUAAGUUUCCAAGGUUGGCCUCAAACUGUUGAUCCUCCUGCCUCGGCCUCUCAAGCACUGGGAUUGCAGAUGUGCCUGACCCCACCUGGUGCCCCAGAGACACCGUUGUCCACGGAUGCGCAAGCCCCUUGUAUGGAAUGGCAUGGGGGUCCCGGUGACCUGCCCACACCCUCCGUCCCCGGUAAGUCCUCUCCAGAUCACUAGAGAUACCCUGUGAGCACUCUCACUGUGCAUGGGGGUCCCUGUCACUCUGCAGUGACGAGGACAGUCUGCACAUGUUCUAAACAGACGCAAUUUAAAAAAAAAAUAGUUUUCAGUCAGCAGUUGGUUGGGUUCAAGGGCGCGGAGCCCACGGGUGCAGAGUCGAGGACACCUAGACCUGCACCCUCCUGCCACCACGCUGCCACGCUGUCCCCUCCCUCAUGCCCACCCUCGCCAGCCUCAGAGGACCUGGCCCAGACCCUGCUUCUGUCCCCCCUGGGGACCCGAGGCUGAGCGUCCACCGGUCUGUCCGAGGAGGACACGAAGCAAGGACGCGGGGACUGGCAGAGACAGAGAAGGACACUGGCCUGACCGGCUCCCUCAGGACCUCCAACCACAGGGUGACCUCAGUGUCAGCCACAGGCGACGUUCUGAUCCUGGCCAGAGUCCAGCUCCUGUCCCCGGCCAGCGAGGGGCCUCUGACCCCAACAAGACUGGUUUCUGACCCAAGCUAUUGACCUGUUCAGGAUCCCAGCCACAGGCUGCCCUCGAGCCUGGCCGCACGCUGACCUUCCACCCCAGCCGCGGCCAGCUUCUGGUUCUGCCGCCCUGGCCCCUCAUCCUUUAUAACUGUCUCACAAGACCCCACCCAGGAACUGGCAUUUGCCGAAUUCCUGCUGCCAAUUCAGCUUGAAUUAAUUGGUCAACAAAGCUGAACUGUCUGUCCUUCCUCUCUACCCUGGGACCACAGGGCAGGCUCCCAGUUCUCCUUUCCAACCUGAGAGCAGCGUGAGAAGGCCCCUUUACCACUUUUCUUCUGCUUUGUAUACGAUGUCUGGUGCUCUGGCAGCCAUCAUGUGAUCAUGGAGAGGAAAGAUAGUGUUCUGAAUACGGCAGGGUCUGUGUCCUUGGAGACAUCAUUGAAUGAUCAAAGCAACCCUUGGAUUCUUAAAUAAGCCAUAGCAUGCUUUUAAAAAAAAUAAACCCAUGGAGUUCCUUUGGCAGCUUUAACAAUUGUAGUAAUUAGAAUAACAGACAUACAAAGACGUCCUGUCUGAAUCCCCAGAGGCUGGGAACAGGCUGUGUUAUGUGGCAAGAAGGAAUGAAGGUUGCAGAUGGAAUCAGAGCUCCUCACGGCCUGGCCUGGAGACGGGCACGUCAUCCUGGACCAUCCAGACGGACCGACUGUAAUCACAGGUCCUUGGGGGUGAGAGGGGCGCAGGGGAAUCAGAGCCAAGAGAAACUUGGCGGUAUCAUGCUGCUGGCCCUGAAGACAGGGCCAGUGGCCGCGAGCCAAGGAAUGCAGGCGCCUCCUAGACACACAAGGUCACAGGUGGGACUCUCCCCAGAGUCCCCCGAAGGAUGGCAACCCUGGGGAUGACACUGAGCUUCUGACCUGCAGAAGUGUCACAUGAUAAAUCUGUGGGAGUCAGUGCAGCUGCGGGGUGGGGCCACAGCCCCGGGUCCGACCUUGGCUUCUGGACAGGGCCAGCUGUGGGGAGGCCAGCUCCGCGCCCCUGUCACCCCGCAGUCCCACGCUCAGGGGGACCACCCUGGAAUGCAGCACUCUGAAGCCCCCACCUUGAAAUUCUUACUAGUUCUGUCUUCAAGUCGCAGCCGCACACAGAGGGCUUGCAGCUGCAUCUGACGGCUGUCACCUCCUGCCACUGCUGCUCCUGGGCAGGGUCCUGGCCACCUGCCGCACGCCCCCAGCCCUCCACCCCCCUCCACCUCCCAUGGCCGCUGCUGCCCUCUGCCCUCUGCGGGGACCUGGGGGCCCUGGAGGGCAGGGCCGUGGCUCACCUCAUGACACCUUGGGCUGGGGGUGGUGACAGCGUCCCUGUCCUGGUGUGUCUGCCUAGACAGGACAAGCCUUCCUUUUGUUGGUCCUGGGGAUUUAGCGGGGGCCCGCUUGCCCACUGAGCCACAUCCCAGCCCUUUUUAUGUCUCAUUUUGAAAGGGGGUCUGCUAAGUGCUUGGGGUCUCACUAAGUUGCUGAGACUGGCCUCCAACUCUCCAUCCUCCUGCCUCAGCCUCCAGAGCAGGGAUGUCAGUGGCAAGACCAGCAUCACGCCUGCCCCAGGAGCCCAGAGUCCCCAUCCUGAAUUCUUAACCCUUUCUCUACCUGCACUGCCAAGGCCGAGCCUCCUCCCCACCCUGCUCCUGGGCUCUCCCGGCCUCCUCCGCGGGCUUCUGCCCUCCCCAUUGCACAAGUCCCAGUGCAGGCCAGGCCCCCUCCGCCUGCCUCGUAGCCCUCCCCCUCCCCUCCCUCCUCUCUCCCCUCCCCUCCCUCCUCCCCCUCCCUCCCUCUCCACUUCCUCCCCUGCACCCCUCCUCCACUCUCAGUGCACAGUGGGCCUGACCCGGCCUUGAACCUGCUUUCACUGAAGCCCUGAGGGCUGCUCUCCAUCCGCCUUCCUGCCGCACUCGGCCUCUGCUCCCCUCUCAGAACUGCCUCCCCCUCCGCGCUGGCGGCCUGCCCCGCGCCCAGCCGCCCCAGGUCUCCCUCUCUGCCCUUCCCUAAGAAUCCAGGGCCCCCCAUAAAGGCCCCCACCUCCUCCGCUCCCCUCUCCCCUCCCCCUCCUCCCUCAGCCUCCAGAGCCCCUUCUCCCUCGCCCUCCCCCCUGAUCCUUACUUACUGUGUGUUGGGCACCACGUGGGCCCUGGAACAUAACAGAAGAGCCAAGGAAGCUCUCUGCGCCCCUCUCCCCAUCCACCCUUUCCCCCUCCCUCCCGUCCCUCCCCCUCCCCUCCCCCUCCCCCCUCCUCUCACAUUCUCUCCCUGGAGUUAACUGCAGCCUUCGCUAAACUGACUGCAGUUUCACGGGGCAGCGAUUGUGCAGCCCAGGACCCAGCGCCCCUGGCACAGAGGGGAUCACAGACACCAUUGGGCACUGUGGUGCACUCCUGUAAUCCCAGCAGCUUCGGAGGCUGAGGGAGGAGGAUUGCAAGGCCAGCCUCAGCAACUUUGUGAGGCCCAAUUUCAAAAUACAAAGGGCUGGCGUGGGGCUCAGGGCUGGAGCACCCUGGGUUCAAUCCCCAGGACCAACCAAGAAUGCACUCAGGAGGCUUCCCUGGAUGGACUGAUGGAUGAGUGAAAGAAAGACAUGUUCUAAACCAUCAGCCCUCUCACCUCAACCCCAGAACCAUGUCCCCAGCUAUGGUGGGGCACAUCCCAGUGACCACAGCUUCCCCGGGGACACGUCCUGCAGCCUAGCCGGUACACCCCACCCUGUGACGUGAUGAGCAUCAUUCUAUUGGUGUAUGUUAUUGACUCUUUUCAUUUUGAUCAGUUCGCAGUCUUCCCUCUGGAAGGAGCCUCCAGGGAGCAGAGAUUUUCGUUUGCUUCACUGUUGAAUUCCAGGGCCCACCUGGGGCCCAACACAUAGUAAGUGCUCAAUAAACACGUCUUGAACCGAUGAGCGGAUCUCACCACGGACAAACCCACAGAUCUCAGACUCAGUGUAUCCAAAAUAGCCCUUUGUCCUCCUCUGGGGACAUCCUCCUUUUGGUUCCUGGUCUUGAUUGCUAAACCUACCCAGCAGGCAUCACCAGGCCCGUGCCUUCCUUCCUCAUCUGCAGAUUCUGGCACCGACUGUCUGUCCCUGUGACCCUUCGCCCUGGCUCCUCCAUGCACCACAUGCACCACACCGUCUCCUGCUUGCAGCCCCUGGGCUGAUCCUAACACUGCACCAGGACCAGGUGGUGACAGAGUCUCCCUCCUGCUCCUAAGGGGACACAGGUCCCGGAGGUCCUGAAGGUGAUGUGAGGUGGCCUUGGGCAUCAGUUCGGGAAACUUGUUCCUUUUUCAGCCUCUCUCUCCCUCGGGCCUUCCGCAGGCUGCCAGCAAGUCGCCAGAAUUGAAAUUACUCGGUUUUGGUUUCACUGUGGGCUCUGCAGUUCCGUCUGUUUAUGGUCAAGGAGGCUGGCGCUCCAUUUGUGAAGGGACAAGGUCUCCUCUGAAAAGAAAGCGAAAUAGGUCAACCAACACGAAGGGCUCAGGAAUCAGGGUGGAGGGGAAAUGCAAGUAUGGCCCAAGUGACCUGUCGUGCAGCGGGAUGGGCCCGGGAAGUGUCCAGAGCUCCUGGCAACCAGGUCCCGGUGCCCGGCUGCCCCUCAGUGUGACACCUGUGACACCUGCAGCCACGCUGGGACACGGCCCUGGCCCCAUUCCCAGGGCACCUCGUGCAGUUUCGACCCCAGGCCUGUCUCUUCACUCUGGCCUGUCCCUCACGCUCCUCCCGGACCACUCUGUGCCCCUGUCGCCCAGCACGGUCCUCCCUGGGGAAGGACCCUCGCCACUCCCAGCCCCGC
rnacentral:lncRNA from 1 species